rnacentral:rRNA from 1 species
AACGCGAAGAACCUUACCAGGUCUUGACAUCUGAAUGACCGGUGCAGAGAUGUGCCUUUUCUUCGGAACAUUCAAGACAGGUGGUGCAUGGUUGUCGUCAGCUCGUGUCGUGAGAUGUUGGGUUAAGUCCCGCAACGAGCGCAACCCUUAUGCUUAGUUGCCAGCACGUAACGGUGGGCACUCUAAGCAGACUGCCGGUGACAAACCGGAGGAAGGUGGGGAUGACGUCAAAUCAUCAUGCCCCUUAUGACCUGGGCUACACACGUACUACAAUGGUCGGUACAACGGGAAGCAAAGCCGCGAGGUGGAGCCAAUCCUUAAAAGCCGAUCUCAGUUCGGAUUGCAGGCUGCAACUCGCCUGCAUGAAGUCGGAAUUGCUAGUAAUCGCGGAUCAGCAUGCCGCGGUGAAUACGUUCCCGGGCCUUGUACACACCG